rnacentral:snRNA from 1 species
CGCCUUGCGCAGUGGCAAUAUCUUAACCAAUGAAGGUCCACCUGAGGUGCGAUUAUUGGCUAGUUGAAAACUUUUACCAAUUUAUUUAUAUUCUUCGUAUAUUUUUGCUUGUAGUUUUUUGACUGCUAAAAAUUUAG